GGGGCAUUAGCUCAAUUGGGAGAGCGUUGCGCUGGCAGCGCAGAGGUCAGGGGUUCGAGCCCCCUAUGCUCCAUCA
rnacentral:tRNA from 3 species